rnacentral:rRNA from 1 species
UACGUAGGGGGCAAGCGUUGUCCGGAUUUAUUGGGCGUAAAGAGUGUGUAGGCGGCCACACAGGUCAGCUGUGAAAACUCGAGGCUCAACCUCGAGACGUCGGUUGAAACCGUAUGGCUAGAGUCCGGAAGAGGAGAGUGGAAUUCCCGGUGUAGCGGUGAAAUGCGCAGAUAUCGGGAAGAACACCCGUGGCGAAGGCGGCUCUCUGGAACGCAACUGACGCUGAGACGCGAAAGCGUGGGGAGCAAACAGG